AUUGAACGCUGGCGGCAGGCCUAACACAUGCAAGUCGAGCGGAUGAAGGGAGCUUGCUCCUGGAUUCAGCGGCGGACGGGUGAGUAAUGCCUAGGAAUCUGCCUGGUAGUGGGGGAUAACGUCCGGAAACGGGCGCUAAUACCGCAUACGUCCUGAGGGAGAAAGUGGGGGAUCUUCGGACCUCACGCUAUCAGAUGAGCCUAGGUCGGAUUAGUUAGUUGGUGGGGUAGAGGCCUACCAAGGCGACGAUCCGUAACUGGUCUGAGAGGAUGAUCAGUCACACUGGAACUGAGACACGGUCCAGACUCCUACGGGAGGCAGCAGUGGGGAAUAUUGGACAAUGGGCGAAAGCCUGAUCCAGCCAUGCCGCGUGUGUGAAGAAGGUCUUCGGAUUGUAAAGCACUUUAAGUUGGGAGGAAGGGCAGUAAGUUAAUACCUUGCUGUUUUGACGUUACCAACAGAAUAAGCACCGGCUAACUUCGUG
rnacentral:rRNA from 1 species